UACGGAGGGAGCUAGCGUUGUUCGGAAUUACUGGGCGUAAAGCGUGCGUAGGCGGUUAUUCAAGUCAGAGGUCGAAAGCCCGGGGCUCAACCCCGGGAACUGCCUUUGAAACUAGAUAGCUAGAAUCUUGGAGAGGUCAGUGGAAUUCCGAGUGUAGAGGUGAAAUUCGUAGAUAUUCGGAAGAACACCAGUGGCGAAGGCGACUGACUGGACAAGUAUUGACGCUGAGGCACGAAAGCGUGGGGAGCAAACAGGG
rnacentral:rRNA from 1 species